UAACGCAUCCAGUUAAUCGAGUAUUAUGACGAUGAAGAGAAGAUUAGCAUGGCCUCCGCGCAAGGAUGGCAAGCAAAAUCCUGAUAAAAAUGUGAUGGUGUU